UAAACUAGGAUUAGAUACCCUAGUAUAAAGAAAGAAUAGAAAUUAGUAAAUUUAGAAAUUUAAUUAUUUUGGCGGUUAAUUGAUUUUUAGAGGAGCUUGUUUACCAGAAAGUACUCUUUAUAUUUUAAUUAGGAAGGUUUGUUCAUCUUUGUUUAAGAGGGUCUACUAAUUUUAGAAUCUAUAUUCAGAUCGAGAUGCAGCUUUUGUAAUGAAUAAUUAGCUACAUUUAGAAAUAAUGGAUUUUUUGAAGGAGUGAAAAAUGAAAUUGAAUUUAGUUGUAAUAUAAAUUAGGAAGUUUAUGUGAAGGGGUUUAAUUAAUGUACAGAUUGCCCGUCACUUCUGCUGUGGAAGUAGAAUAAGUCGUAACAAAGUA
rnacentral:rRNA from 1 species